rnacentral:lncRNA from 1 species
AAGAACCGUGCCAUGGUAGCUUCCCGAUCUUCUUCCACAUUAGCCCGAAUCAUAAGAAUUUCCAUCUCCUUGUGAUAAUCCUCUACACUUUUCGAUCCUUGGUACAAACCUUGCAAUUUUUGAUGGAUUUCCCUAUAAUAGUGACUCGGAACAAACCUCCUCCUCAUCAACAUCUUCAACUCAUCCCAAGUGCUAAUUGGCCUUUC